AUGGCGGACGGGGACGAGCAUGAGCAUGGCGCGCCGGGCCGGCUGGAGAGCAUCCUGACGGACUCGUCGGCGCCGCUGGCGGGGCGCGUGUGGGCGGCGGGGGCGAUCGAGCUCGGCAUGCUCUUGCGGCUGGCGGCGCCGGCGGUGGUCAUGUACAUGAUCAACUACCUCAUGUCCAUGUCCACGCAGAUCUUCUCCGGCCACCUCGGGAGCCUGGAGCUCGCCGCCGCCUCCCUCGGCAACACCGGCGUCCAGAUGUUCGCCUACGGCCUCAUGCUAGGCAUGGGUAGCGCAGUGGAGACCCUGUGCGGACAAGCCUUCGGUGCGCAAAAGUACGACAUGCUCGGAACCUACCUACAACGCUCCGCCGUGCUCCUCUGCUGCACCGGCAUACCGCUCGCCGCGAUCUACGCCUUCUCGGAGCCGCUCCUCGUGCUACUGGGACAGUCACCGGAGAUCGCCCACGCCGCGUCCAUCUUCGUCUACGGCCUCAUCCCUCAGAUCUUCGCGUACGCCAUCAACUUCCCGAUCCAGAAGUUCAUGCAGGCGCAGAGCAUCGUCCUCCCCAGCGCCUACAUCUCCACGGGCACGCUCGUGCUGCACCUGCUGCUCAGCUGGGUCGUCGUCUACAAGGCCGGCCUCGGCCUGCUCGGCGCCUCGCUGGUGCUCAGCCUCAGCUGGUGGGUCAUCGUCGCGGCGCAGUUCGCGUACAUCGCCGUGAGCCCGACCUGCCGGGAGACGUGGACCGGGUUCACCUGGCAGGCCUUCUCCGGCUUGCCGGCCUUCCUCAAGCUCUCCGCGGCGUCUGCUGUCAUGUUGUGCCUGGAGACGUGGUACUUUCAGAUCCUGGUGCUCAUUGCUGGCUUGCUCCCCAACCCUGAGAUUGCUCUGGAUUCCCUUUCUGUGUGCAUGACAAUCUCCGGUUGGGUGUUCAUGAUCUCAGUAGGUUUCAACGCCGCCGCAAGUGUAAGAGUUAGCAAUGAGCUUGGUGCCGGCAACCCCAAGUCAGCAUUUUUCUCAGUGUGGGUCGUCACUUCGCUCUGUGCAGCCAUCUCUGUUGUCUUUGCCAUUGUGAUGCUCUGCCUACGCAACCACAUCAGCUACUUGUUCACAGAGAGUGAAAUAGUUUCCGAAGCGGUGGCGGAUCUCUGCCCGCUCCUCGCCAUCACACUCAUUCUCAAUGGCAUACAACCUGUACUAUCAGGUGUUGCUGUUGGAUGUGGAUGGCAACAAUUUGUUGCAUACGUGAACAUUGGUUGUUACUACAUCGUAGGCGUACCCCUUGGAAUUGUUCUCGGUUUUGUCUUCAACCUCGGCGUAAAGGGCAUUUGGGGUGGCAUGAUUGGAGGAACGACUAUGCAGACGGCCAUUCUAUUGUGGGUCACCAUCAGAACCGAUUGGAGCAAAGAGGUUGAGGAAGCGCAUAAAAGAUUGAACAAGUGGGAUGAUACCAAGAAACAGCCCCUCCUUACGGCGGCCACAGAUAAUAGCUAA
rnacentral:rRNA from 1 species